AAUCUUGGACAAUGGGGGAAAGCUUGAUCCAGCCAUGCCGCGUGUGUGAAGAAGGUCUUCGGAUUGUAAAGCACUUUAAGUUGGGAGGAAGGGCUUUAGGUUAAUACCCUGAAGUUUUGACGUUACCAACAGAAUAAGCACCGGCUAACUCUGUGCCAGCAGCCGCGGUAAUACAGAGGGUGCAAGCGUUAAUCGGAAUUAAUGGGCGUAAAGCGGGCGUAGGGGGGUCAGUAAGAUGGGUGUGAAAUACCCGGGCUUAAACUGGGAACUGCUUUCAUAACUGCUGAGCUAGAGUACGGUAGAGGGGAGUGGAAUUUCCUGGGUAGGGGUGAAAUGCGUAGAUAUAGGAAGGAACACCAGGGGCGAAGGCGACUACCUGGGCUGAUACUGACACUGAGGUGCGAAAGCGUGGGGAGGAAAC
rnacentral:rRNA from 1 species